GCCGCGUUAGCUCAGUUGGUAGAGCAACCGCCUUGUAAGCGGUAGGUCGCCUGUUCGAGUCAGGCACGCGGCACCA
rnacentral:tRNA from 1 species